GAUGAACGCUGCCAGAAUGCUUAACACAUGCAAGUCUACUUGAACUUCGGUUUGGGUGGCGGACGGGUGAGUAACGCGUAAAGAACUUGCCUCACAGUUAGGGACAACAUUUGGAAACGAAUGCUAAUACCUGAUAUUAUGAUUUUAGGGCAUCCUAGGAUUAUGAAAGCUAUAUGUGCUGUGAGAGAGCUUUGCGUCCCAUUAGCUAGUUGGAGAGGUAACGGCUCACCAAGGCGAUGAUGGGUAGCCGGCCUGAGAGGGUGAACGGCCACAAGGGGACUGAGACACGGCCCUUACGCCUACGGGAGGCAGCAGUGGGGAAUAUGGGACAAUGGACCAAAAGUCUGAUCCAGCAAUUCUGUGUGCACGAUGACGUUUUUCGGAAUGUAAAGUGCUUUCAGUUGGGAAGAAAAAAAUGACGGUACCAACAGAAGAAGAGACGGCUAAAUACGUG
rnacentral:rRNA from 1 species